UAGUAGGUGAUCUCUUUGUGCAGAGACGCCUGAAAGUUAAUGUUUAUCUGGUUGCUGACUCAUUAGAGAAGAGAGGUGAAACACACGUAGUACGAACAUUGCAGAUCAACCCCCGUACCAGUGAGUCCUUCCCACUUCGCGGCUCUCUGCUCGGGGCAUUUAUUCAGCACUUCAGCACGGUCUGGAGAACCACCGAUGCCCUCCUAUGCGUGCUCUUGCUGGGAAUAAGGUCUGGAGCAAUCGGUCAGACAAGAGAUCACUUGAAACCUCUUGAGGUCUGAAAAGCGAGGGAAGAUUCCCAGCUGUUAUCCACAGCCAGUAACCAGGGUAAAAGCAGCAAUCAUCACCAGAUUUACACCCUGCCUUACUUUGUGGAAGAUCCUUAGAAGAAACGGGUUUAGGCCUCCAUCAAACUCUAAGAGCACGUCAAUCAGCCAGGACUGUCCACUAGCAUCUAACACUCCCAACAACAGCAACAAAACCAGAACAAACCAAUGGAUGCAUCAACUCCUGUAACUGGGGCUAGCACAGAUUCCCAGCUUUGAGUUUCCUGGUAAUCAAGGAGUCCAGAACCCUCCAAGUCCCAGGAGAGCGCUCCAUCGCCAAAGAAGGAAGUACUCUCUCGCCAUCGGUCUUGAGAGAUGGCAAAUUAAAUGACAUCAUUCUGCAAAUACUCAGUGGAUCUUGGCAUCACUGAAGGGAAAGUCUGAGAGCUUGAAGAACCGUCCAUCUCAAGGGAUCACAUGGUCUUCAGCAACACACAGGCAAAAUACAUGAUGUAAACUGCUAUUUGACCAGCAGUGAUUAGGCAGAUUCCCGGUGGUACAACAGGGCAAACCUUCAGCUGCUGCCAGCUCUUCCUCAGUAUUUGGGAGUAACCCUUGGGAUAGCGAGCUCUCGCAGAGACUGAGUUGGUGUGCUAAGUGAAUUUCUGGUGCUGACUACUGCCAGGUGAGUCUUCGGGAAGCUUAACGUGAAAUUUCUGCAAGUAAUCUUUGGAGAUACUCCUGCUGCGUGAUUUCAGUGCGGAAACAAGCCUCCUGCUUGGGACCCAAGUAAAUCCUUUUGCUGAAGUGAGGGUGCUAGCCUCACUAAAAUCAGUAUUUGAAAUUUAAUUUGAAAGCGAUGAGUUUCAGCUUAAUCAAGUCCAAGGCAGGUUACAAUUUCCUCCCUCAGGAUGAGAGGAAAUGAGUUUGAUGGCUCCAGGAGCUGGCAAGAAAACUCCUGGAAAAGGAGUUCUUGAAAAAGUCAGGGGAGCCAGGCUGACUGAGUAGUAAAAGGAAGGCCAGCAGUAGUCAGCUUCUAUUUGUUUAGAGAUCUCCAUGCUCAGUUCCAUCAGAACAAUCUCUCCCCAAGGCAGUCGUAAUACCUCAGCUUCAUCUGGGAAAUAAAGCGGCUGAGAAAGUUCAACGAGAGAAAAUUAACGUUCAUGGGGGGGGGGACAUGCUGAAAGGGGGAUCCAAGUUUUACAUGUAACAUCACGGGCUCUAAACUGACCAUUGCCGCUCAACUUGGGAACACGAUCUCAGGAUUUAAUAUUCCAAGAAGUAUCAGCUCAAAAGAAGUCAAAGCAAGGUGAACACUUGGAAUUUUUAGAAAAGGAAUACAGAACAAAGUGCCAUUUUGCAGCUGUGUAACUCAUGAUGCACCUGUAUCCUGAAUAUUGUGUGAGCUUCGCCCCCUCCCAUCACAGAAAAUAUACAGCUUGGAAGUAGGGAAGGUUCAGAGAAAGGCAAUUAAGAUGAUACAUACCUGAGGAAUAAACAGAGCAGUACUCUUUAGCCUGGUAAACAGAUGACCAAAUGAAAAGUAAGGUAGAAGACUAAAAGGAAAGGUAGGACACAAAAGUUGGGGAGAUGAACUGCUUGCUGUCUUUUCCAAAACAAAGCUUUGGAGACAUCAAAGGAAGAUGUCAGUGGGUUCUUCACACAGCAUGGAGUUCAACCGCAUAACCUGUUGCUACACAAAGUUAUGGAUAUCCGUGGUUUACUGCCACUCUAGAACAAUAAUUAGGUAUUAAGUAAUCCUCAAUGGACUUUUCUUCCAUGAAAUGCAAAGCCAUCAUUUGGUCAGGAAGACCAUUUGGUAUGGCACAGGAGAAUACAUGGGGGGUGGUAAUGGAUGGAAUGUCUUUGGAGGGCUGGAAAUUCAGUUUGCACAGAUUAAAGUGUUGCUUUAGUGUUAAGGUUUCAUCCUUUCUGUAGUUCAACAUAUUCAUCCUCUUUGGAUGGAAGAUAUUUUCCUUCACAAACCCCGAAAUUUGGAGCAAUGAGAACCAAUACCUUACCACAGGCAUAAUGACAGAAUCCAAAGCUUCAUCCACUGCAACUGAUGCAGUUCCGAGUAUGUCAUCUACACAUUUCCUCAAACAACAAGGAUGACAAUCCCUUCAGCAGUUGAGAGAAGAAUGUAUGUGUUAAGAAGAAAACUCACUAAAAAAAAGCAGCUUUCAGAUUACUGCUCUCGACAAUUACACAAUGAAAACAUUGCAAGCAUCAUCUUUCCUGAAGAUAGCUCAAAGAGUUCAUGUAUUAAACCUCAGAUGCAUCUCUAGCUACCUACAACCUACAGGUUAGCUAUCUCUAACCUACAACCAGUGGGGAAAACUGGAAACUUGGUGCUCUUCUCUCAUACUAGGGUUCAUAAUGGCUUGUUUUAUUGGAAGGCAUAGAUUGACUGAGGGGAGUUUAUUAUUAGCAGGCUUGGUGCUGGCUCUUCUGACAUUCCUAGGGGAAUAGGAGGAGAUCAGACUGCCCUCCUCAGUAACUCCAACUGCCCCUCCACUCCCAUUCCCCUGAAGCUUUUUGGGUAGGGCUAAGGGGAGCGAAUUAGGGGAGAUGAGAAGUGUUCCUGUUUUGAAGACUAAGACAUCAUGAGAGAAGCAUAUUCUCCUGUCCUUAGACAUCAGGCUCUUAGUCCCUGCGGCAGGUCAGCGAAAUGGGAGAUCUCAUUCUUGUAUUGAUGCCCGGUGUUAACGACAUGGAACAGAGGACCACCGAGUGCAUUUACUUGGGAAAUGCUGGGGCGACCGCCAGGCAUGUGAAGCCUGAGGUGCUGGGUAUGUGUCUUUGCUUGCCAGGAAGGAGAGAGAACAGUGGGCAUCAGCUUCUUUGCAGUGAUGAGAAAUCAUCAUGCUCUUGCAUUACAGUGCACACAAAAGAAACCUUUUAUCUUGACUGCUUGGGCAGAAGUGAACAUGCAAAAAGUACUUGAAGUACAACCUCUAGAGAUGCAAAACCUAUCUGUUACCCUCCAUCAAGAUUUAAUUUCAGAAAAAAAAUUCAAAGUUGUUUGCCUGAGGGAUACAGCAGCCGUUCUAACAAAAACACUGCAAUACCUGGAGCUGAUUUAAACAAAUAUAGAAACUCAGUCUUACCUGGUUCUACCUACCUCCACAUGCAGCUGAAUCCCUAUAGCAGAGAAAUCAGUAACACACCCACACCGAGUCUAACUACACGUGAGAAGGUUAUAUAAAGCUUAGCUCAUCUUCUGGACCGGAGCAGACAUGGUAACACUCCCUGCACUAAUCCCUAGCACACAAAUACACUGCUGUUUGCAGCAAAGAUUGGCUGUCCAAAUACUUCACCAAAUACCAGCUACUCAGAGGUUUAACUACCUGCAGCCGCUGGUUAUAUAUAUAUUCCCGUCUUAAUUUCUCUUAAGAUUUUGGGAACCAUGGGGUUUAACCUCAAGUCAGCCAUUGGUUUUCCCCCUGGUUACAUUCAUUUCUCACUCACCAGCCUCUCUUUUUGAUGUGGUCCCACACUGACACUCUCAGCAGUGGGGUUUUAAUGUUUCCUGACAGUAUCAUGCAGUACGCUACAUGCAAAGAACAUCCCAUUAUAUUUUCAGGCAUCUUCUACUACCAGUCAGGCUUGCACAGGUACCAAAAUCUUUUCAGGAAGCCAGAUGCUUUUGCUGUGUCAUUCUGGAAGAUGUCUAUUGCGCCCUGGCCUGAACAUGCUUUUGGAUUUGGAGAAAGAAAAAAGCCAGUUAUUUUUAAUUCUAUUCAUCAACACAUUAAUAGUCCCAUCUGAGAAUGAGGAUGACUUAUAGUUAAGUGACCUCUAUACUCCCACAAGAGAAAACCAGGCUCUCCCAUCCUGCUCCUCACGAGCACAGGCAGAGGCCUAACACGUAAGGAAGGCAAUGUAGGUUGCUUCCCUGGCCAUGGAAAUAUUAUCUAGCCAGGCCUUCUGCUUAGCAGUUGCACAACGGUUUUCAAGUUAAGCUGUGUUCUUCAAAUGUGCAAUGGAGAACUCCCGCGCUCCCAAACCCCCCUUGAGAAAUACUGACACGCGUGCACUGACUAAAGUCUGGCAAACUCUUUUCUUCCUCAACUACCAGUAAGAAGCGAUUGGGGUAUGUUAUAAAAAAGAAACAUUUAUACGCAUUCUUCUCUUGAACCUCCCUGGCCAUUUUUCGCCCUUUCAGCUAUGACACGGACUGCCACUCCCUACGUUCUACAACGUUCCCGCAUCAGAAACCUCACACCAGCUGCUCUCACCCACGCUUUUGGUUUCCACUCCCUGUCAGCCCGCAGUGCUGGCUCGCUGGGUGCAGGACAGUCAAGAAGCACUGCACCCGACUGAGCCCAAGAGGCAUUUGCAGCCCCGACCGCGCAAUUUAGCGAAACAAAAGGACCUUACACAUACAUUAUCUCUUCAAAGCAUUUGAAGAGAUAUCCAAAUUGAGGAGCCCAUCAUUCAAGCUUUCUUCAGCUGGAAGCUCUCACACCGAACAGCAGGUUUUAGUGCAAAACUCCACUCUGUCAAAAGAUGUUAGCUUUCCCAAGUGGCAGGGCUCACAGAGAGGGCCAGAAACAGUGCACUCUUGUUUAAAUACGAGUGGAAGAAUAUAUCUCUGCUACUUUAAACACCUACAAGUGCAUUAUUUCUCUGUAUAGCAUUUGGGUAACUUCUCCCCAGCUUAGUGUAUCUUCAGUCAAGAAGUAUUUUAGAGAACUCAUGGAUACAAACUCUUCCAUGGAGCAUGUUGCCAUCUAUUUCCCUGUCAUGGAAAAACCUUCCAGUGGCUCAUCCUUGGCAGUACAUUCUUCCUGAAUAUUCCCUGUCUCUCUCAAUGUAAAACGUCUCUCUCAAUUAUCUCUCUCAGUAGUAAAUUGUGAGGAAUAAAGGGACUGUUUCAUCACUUGACAGGUAGUAGCAGAAAAAAAAAGUGGAAAAAAAAAGAUGUAUACAAUGCAAUGACAAGCAUAAACACUCUGCAUUGUUCCCUGACCUUCCACUUCAUUUUGAAUUGCAAACAGAUUAAUGAUAGCAGAAGAGGGAGAGAGAUAAAUGUACACAAUGAAAAAGUUUUCUGCUUCAUCCUUCAUUGGAUGCGAACAGAGUUUAGCUGCAAAACCCAAGCCUUUAUGGUUGAAAGUAACUUUUCUUCAUAAUGAAUCUGGAAUGCCUGAAAGAUGUGGGAAAUCUGUGCCCCAGUUUAAUAUUAAACUGAAAUAUGAUCCUUCGGUCUUUAACUGGGAACAUCUGGUAGAAAACUCUGCUGGUCAAAAUUUACUAGCUAAUAAAGACUAUAAUGAAUUUCCACAGUUAGAGAGUUAUGCAUGUUUUAUAUAAAAGCAAUCAUGACACUACAAAGCACUCAACACUUAGAGCAAAGGCAAAUAUUAUUUUGUAAGGCAUGAAAGAAAGAUACAUCAUUGCAAUUUAAAAUUAAUUUUAUGGCAAUAAAAUAAGGUACUUUUUUUCUUUUUAAAUACAGAGCCCAAUUAAAAUAUAACCAAACCUAAACUUUAAAACUCCUUAAAGCAAGAGAUCAGACAAA